ACGUAGGUGGCGAGCGUUAUCCGGAAUUAUUGGGCGUAAAGAGCGCGCAGGUGGUUGAUUAAGUCUGAUGUGAAAGCCCACGGCUUAACCGUGGAGGGUCAUUGGAAACUGGUCGACUUGAGUGCAGAAGAGGGAAGUGGAAUUCCAUGUGUAGCGGUGAAAUGCGUAGAGAUAUGGAGGAACACCAGUGGCGAAGGCGGCUUCCUGGUCUGUAACUGACACUGAGGCGCGAAAGCGUGGGGAGCAAACAG
rnacentral:rRNA from 2 species